CAUUACUUUGCAUUUAGCGCUGUUUAUUGGGAAAAGUCUCCGUUACAAGAAAAAGUCGUGAGACAGAAAAUUAUAAUUUGUCAGACGAGUCCCAGGAAUGGAACACGAGCAAACGAACGGACGAAACGGUCGAAAAUGAAACACGCGAAUUUGUAAUGACGCUUACAAAAUCUGAGGUGGACCAGCUAAUAGUUGAAACUUCUAGACGGUAUAGGGACAAAAAUGGUAAUGUUCGCCAAAGGGUUAUAAAUGUCCUGCAACCGAAAAAAUGGACCGAGAUUUUUUCGAAGAGAAUAUACGAUGAAUUUAGAUUGUCCCAUGGCUAUCAUUUUGAGAACCACUACAUAAAUUCAGAUAAAACUGCUGGAAAAUUCCAAGGUAGGUUAUAAGAUUCACAAUUUUUUAAAAAAUCUGGAACCUAUGACUAAUGACUGUGUCAUUAAUUUCUGGAAUAAUUAGACUUAUUUGAACAUAUAUAAAAAAAAAAUUGCUUAUAUAUACUUUUAAAAUUUCGAAUUUACCAGAGGUUUAUAGUCAAAAAAAUCUGGCAUUAUGUUAUAUUAUUUUCUAUCGCAGGCCAUUGCAAGUGCGGCAGCAAAGUGCAUGCCGAACUUUUGCCAAAUCUCGAAAAUGAUGAAGUCUUUAAGAUCAUGUGCACCGCCACUAAAGGACAAAAUAAAUGUGGAAAACGACAGCUCCGAGGUCAAACGCGAAAUGCGUUAGUUUCCAAUUUGGAAAAGGAAUCUACACUGUUCUAUAGGGCCAAGAAAGCUUCCGAGCUUAUGGGAUCGGACGACGAUUUAGAACCACCUCAUUUGUAUUCCGCAUCAGUAUGCAGAACCGCAAAAUAUGAGGCAGGAAAAAAACGAUUCAGGAAGGUAGAUCCACUGGACGCAAUCUCUGACCUGAAAAGAAGUCGUAAUGGCCAGGAAAUUGUUCGAGACAUUGGUAGAGAUCCUGUUAAAGUUCUUUUUUGGUCACCGCAUCAGAUUCGCGUUUAUAAUAAACUAAGAAAACAGAGUGCCCUCUGUAUCGAUGCUUCUGGUGGGAGGAUUAUGGAGUACAGACACAUUGAUGGAAAGAAAUCGCAGCAUAUAUUCCUUCACAUUGCUGUGCUACACUCUGCGUUUGGGCAGUUUGUUGUUUCGUCGAUGCUAACAGAGAAACAAGACAUGGUUUCAAUAACGACAUGGCUUCUUAGAUGGAUACAAACAGGAGCACAGUACCCUAAAGAAGUGGUGUGCGAUUCUUCAAGGGCUUUGCUGUCAAUUUGUUGUUUGGCGUUUGCGACUUUCGACACGGUUGAAGCCUAUGCAGACGCUUGCAUGUCUAAUAAUAUGCCGAGGACUUACAUCCGCAUUGAUGUCGCUCACUAUAUGAAGAAUUGGGCCGAUUUUUUUAAAACCGAAAAAAAGCUUGUAAAGCGCUUUAUUUCGGAAUUGGUCAGCUCAUUUUGUCGACAAGUCCAGAAGACGCCCGAAGAAUUAUUAAGGCGUUGUUAAUAAUUUCUUUGUGUAAAAGAGGCGGAGAAGGAGCACUGGUUUUAAAAGAAUCGGUUAAAAUAAUCGAGAGACAAGCGAAGCAAGAAAGUGAACUAAAUGCUCUUGUUGACGCGACUGAACUAGCAACAAAUGUCCAUACCUUAGGUCAGACUGAAACCACUUUCGAUGAUGAGUAUACGGAUAGCACUACAGGAUACCUUGCUGAUUGGGCUUUAUCCAUAAAACAAGAAGUGGACGAAAUUGUGGAGAACGAGAGAGGAGACGACCUCAACCCACGUGAGUGCGCGCAGUUUUGUAAACGGCUACUGAAGCACCUCAGGACCAUUCCGUUGUGGUCUAGUAUUGUCCGAAACAGUUUUGGAUUCGGAAGAAUUCCAGCCAGUAGCGCUCCAGUAGAGAUUGAAUUCAAGUCAAUCAAAAAUUCAGUCCUAAAAUCCAAAACCCGUGUGGACGUAGCAGUAGACAAGCUGGUAACAUAUUUUAACGGAAGCACCAAAUUAAUAGACUGCUCCACAAAAGUACAAAAUGACGUAAACUUUAAAGAUGUGGAGGGUUGUAACGAAACUGUUGAUAGUGAAAUAGCCCAAACUGUUUCAAGUUUCCAGCUAGAGUCCCUCAUGGACAUCAGCAAUAUAAGCAAUGUGUCAUUAAUGAGUGCUACAGAAACUACAGACACUUGCUAUUUAUGCAAGAAAUUGGUCAAAGGCGGACGAAUCCAAAUUUGCGAGGACUGUUUCGAGUCGUCCCACAAUUCACCCAGAGGGGCGUUGAAUGGGGUAGAGAACUGGAGAGGCUUGGGAGAAAACAAAAAGAAAAGAAAAUAAAUAAAAUAAAAUAAAUAAAUCAAUAAGGAAAAUGUCGAUUUCAAUGAUAUUUUUUCUCAAAAAUUAACCACCUUGCCCAUUUUAAGAAACGGCAACGAUUCUACACUAAGCCUGGUAAAGGUAGAGGGAUCGACCUUUCCUUUGCAGAACACGUGUGCUUUCGACAGCCUUUUUCAGGUGCUCAUAGCUGGAGUCUCAGACUCUGAAACAUUAAAGUUAUAUGUAAAAAAAAAGAAAUGAGAACGCUAUGUUUGAGUGUUAUCGAAAGUAAGAUCGAUGUUCAGUCAUAUAAAAAGCGAGCACAAAUUAUGCUCAGCUUUUUUAAAAAGCAACCAAUGAAUUGUAUCCAAAGUGUUGAUUGCACUUGCAAUGUUGUGAGCCUGGCCAAUUUUAUAUUUAAAGCCACUCCCUCGUUUAAGGAAAUUUCCUUUUGUCCUUCUGGAUGCAAAGCCCGCAUCACUGAGUUGCCAUCAAUAACCGUAACUGCACAGGAGUUACGCGGAAGUCUAGAGAGUGCUAUACAGCAGCAUGUAGCCCUAGAAGGCACUAGAUGUCGCCAAGAUGCCUGCACACAAAUAAAUAAAAACACCAUUC